rnacentral:rRNA from 1 species
UUAUUGGGCGUAAGCGCGCGCAGGUGGUUUCUUAAGUCUGAUGUGAAAGCCCACGCCUCAACCGUGGAGGGUCAUUGGAAACUGGGAGACUUGAGUGCAGAAGAGGAAAGUGGAAUUCCAUGUGUAGCGGUGAAAUGCGUAGAGAUAUGGAGGAACACCAGUGGCGAAGGCGACUUUCUGGUCUGUAACUGACACUGAGGCGCGAAAGCGUGGGGAGCAAACAGGAUUAGAUACCCUGGUAGUCCACGCCGUAAACGAUGAGUGCUAAGUGUUAGAGGGUUUCCGCCCUUUAGUGCUGAAGUUAACGCAUUAAGCACUCCGCCUGGGGAGUACGGCCGCAAGGCUGAAACUCAAAGGAAUUGAAGGGGGCCCGCA